rnacentral:rRNA from 1 species
UACGUAGGUGGCAAGCGUUGUCCGGAAUUAUUGGGCGUAAAGCGCGCGCAGGCGGUUUCUUAAGUCUGAUGUGAAAGCCCCCGGCUCAACCGGGGAGGGUCAUUGGAAACUGGGGAACUUGAGUGCAGAAGAGGAGAGUGGAAUUCCACGUGUAGCGGUGAAAUGCGUAGAGAUGUGGAGGAACACCAGUGGCGAAGGCGACCCUCUGGUCUGUAACUGACGCUGAGGCGCGAAAGCGUGGGGAGCGAACAGG